GAACGCACAUUGCGCCCCUUGGUAUUCCGGGGGGCAUGCCUCUUCCAGCGUCAUUUCACCCCUCAAGCUCUGCUUGGUCUUGGGCCGCACCGCGCAAGCGGUGGGCCUCGAAAACAGUGGCGGCGCCAUCUGGGCUCUCAGCGUAGUAAUUCUUCUCGCUGUUGGGCUCCGGUGGCCGCCCGCCAGCAACCCCCAACUUUUACAGUUUGACCUGGGAUGAGGUAGGGAUACCCGCUGAACUUAAG
rnacentral:misc_RNA from 1 species